rnacentral:rRNA from 1 species
AUUGAACGCUGGCGGCAUGCCUUACACAUGCAAGUCGAACGGUAACAGGUCUUCGGAUGCUGACGAGUGGCGAACGGGUGAGUAAUACAUCGGAACGUGCCUAGUAGUGGGGGAUAACUACUCGAAAGAGUGGCUAAUACCGCAUGAGAUCUACGGAUGAAAGCAGGGGAUCGCAAGACCUUGUGCUACUAGAGCGGCCGAUGGCAGGUUAGGUAGUUGGUGGGAUAAAAGCUUACCAAGCCGACGAUCUGUAGCUGGUCUGAGAGGACGAUCAGCCACACUGGGACUGAGACACGGCCCAGACUCCUACGGGAGGCAGCAGUGGGGAAUUUUGGACAAUGGGCGCAGGCCUGAUCCAGCAAUGCCGCGUGCAGGAUGAAGGCCUUCGGGUUGUAAACUGCUUUUGUACGGAACGAAAAGCCCCGGGUUAAUACCCUGGGGUCAUGACGGUACCGUAAGAAUAAGCACCGGCUAACUAUGUGCCAGCCGCCGCAGUAA